rnacentral:misc_RNA from 1 species
GAUGAAGAACGCAGCGAAAUGCGAUACUUGGUGUGAAUUGCAGAAUCCCGUGAACCAUCGAGUCUUUGAACGCAGGUUGCGCCCGAAGCCAUUAGGCCGAGGGCACGCCUGCCUGGGCGUCACACGUCGUUGCCCCCCCAUCUACUCCUUCGGGAUUGCGGGGGGCGGAUGAUGGCCUCCCGUGCGCCUCGUCGCGCGGUUGGCAUAAAUGCCAAGUCCUCGGCGACGCACGCCACGACAAUCGGUGGUUGCGAAACCUCGGUUGCCCGUCGUGUGCGGUCGUCGCGCAUCGAGGGCUCGAAAAAAUUGCCGGGCUCCGGCUCGGCUUUCAACGCGACCCCAGGUCAGGCGGGGUUACCCGCUGAAUUUAAGCAUAUCAAUAAGCGGAGGA